rnacentral:rRNA from 1 species
UAUCGCGCGAUCGCCUUGAGUUGAUCAUGGCUCAGAACGAACGCUGGCGGCGCGCCUAACACAUGCAAGUCGAACGAGAAGCCGUCGCAAGACGGUUGUAAAGUGGCAAACGGGUGAGUAAUGCAUGGGUAACCUACCCUCUGGUGGGGGAUAACUCCCCGAAAGGGGUGCUAAUACCGACGAUACGUACCGGCCUCGCAAGGGGCUGGUGGAAAGCCGAGCCGAGGGUUCGGCGCCGGAGGAUGGGCUCAUGUCCUAUCAGCUUGUUGGCGGGGUAAUGGCCCACCAAGGCUGCGACGGGUAGCUGGUCUGAGAGGACGACCAGCCACACUGGCACUGCGACACGGGCCAGACUCCUACGGGAGGCAGCAGUGAGGAAUAUUGCGCAAUGGACGACAGUCUGACGCAGCGACGCCGCGUGGGGGAUGAAGGCCUUCGGGUUGUAAACCCCUUUCAGGAGGGAAGAUGGGACGGGCAACCGUUCGGACGGUACCUCCAGAAGCAGCCACGGCUAACUCUGUGCCAGCAGCCGCGGUAAGACAGAGGUGGCAAGCGUUGUUCGGAUUUACUGGGCGUAAAGGGUGCGUAGGUGGUUAGGUAAGACCUGUGGGAAAGACCUGGGCUUAACCCAGGAAGGUCGCAGGUGACUGCCUAGCUAGAGGACGGGAGAGGAGCGCGGAAUUCCCGGUGUAGCGGUGAAAUGCGUAGAGAUCGGGAGGAANGCCGGUGGCGAAGGCGGCGCUCUGGAACGUUC